UACGUAGGCAGCAAGCGUUGUUCGGAAUUACUGGGCGUAAAGGGUGCGUAGGCGGCUUUUUAAGUUUGGUGUGAAAUCUCCCGGCUCAACUGGGAGGGUGCGCCGAAUACUGAGAAGCUAGAGUGUGGGAGAGGAAAGUGGAAUUCCUGGUGUAGCGGUGAAAUGCGUAGAUAUCAGGAGGAACACCGGUGGCGAAGGCGGCCACCUGGACGGUAACUGACGCUGAGACGCGAAAGCGUGGGGAGCAAACAGG
rnacentral:rRNA from 1 species